rnacentral:rRNA from 1 species
GAUGAACGCUGGCGGCGUGCCUAAUACAUGCAAGUCGAGCGAACAGACGAGAGUGCUUGCACUCUCUGACGUUAGCGGCGGACGGGUGAGUAACACGUGGGUAACCUACCUAUGAGACUGGGAUAACUUCGGGAAACCGGAGCUAAUACCGGAUAAUAUUUAGCUUCGCAUGCAGCAAUAGUGAAAGACGGUUCUGCUGUCACGUUUAGAUUGACCCGCGGUGUAUUGGCAGGUUGGUGAGGGAACGGCUCACCAAGGAAACGUUACAUAGCGGACCUGAGGGGUGGUUCGGCAAACUGGGACUGAGACACGGUCCCGACUCCUACGGGAGGCCAGAGUUGGGAAUUUUUCCGCAUGGGCGGAAAUCCGAACGAGGCAAGGCGGGGGUGGGAAAGAGGUUUUCGGAUUGUAAAACCCUUUUUGUAGGGAAAAAACAGGUACGUUAUAAACGGAACUUACUUUGCGGUACCCGAACAGAAAGCCACGGCUAACUACGUG